rnacentral:rRNA from 1 species
CCUACGGGAGGCAGCAGUGAGGAAUAUUGGUCAAUGGGCGAGAGCCUGAACCAGCCAAGUCGCGUGAGGGAGUACUGCCCUAUGGGUUGUAAACCUCUUUUGUCGGGGAGCAAAAGCCGGACGUGUCCGGCUGUGAGAGUACCCGAAGAAAAAGCAUCGGCUAACUCCGUGCCAGCAGCCGCGGUAAUACGGAGGAUGCGAGCGUUAUCCGGAUUUAUUGGGUUUAAAGGGUGCGCAGGCGGAUUUUUAAGUCAGCGGUAAAAUCGUGGGGCUCAACCCCAUCCAGCCGUUGAAACUGGGGAUCUAGAGUGUGCGAGAGGUAUGUGGAAUGCGUGGUGUAGCGGUGAAAUGCAUAGAUAUCACGCAGAACCCCGAUUGCGAAGGCAGCAUACCGGUGCACAACUGACGCUCAGGCACGAAAGCGUGGGUAUCGAACAGGAUUAGAUACCCUAGUAGUC